rnacentral:rRNA from 1 species
GAUGAACGCUGGCGGCGUGCCUAAUACAUGCAAGUCGAGCGAACGGACGAGGAGCUUGCUUUUCUGAUGUUAGCGGCGGACGGGUGAGUAACACGUGGAUAACCUACCUAUAAGACUGGGAUAACUUCGGGAAACCGGAGCUAAUACCGGAUAAUAUUUUGAACCGCAUGGUUCAAAAGUGAAAGACGGUUUUGCUGUCACUUAUAGAUGGAUCCGCGCUGCAUUAGCUAGUUGGUAAGGUAACGGCUUACCAAGGCAACGAUGCAUAGCCGACCUGAGAGGGUGAUCGGCCACACUGGAACUGAGAACCGGUCCCGACUCCUACGGGAGGCCAGCAUAGGGAAUCUUCCGCCAUGGGCCGAAGCCUUACGGAGCAACGCCGGGGUGGUGAUGAAGGUCUUCCGAUCGUAAAAACCCGUUAUUAGGGAAAAAAAAAUGUGUAAGUAACUGUGCAACGCUUGACGGUACCUGAUCCAAAAGCCAAGGCUAACUAAGUG